UUUCGGGAUAGGUCGGGGGGCCAGGGGUCCCUUGUUGCUGCAAAUCCCCUUUAGGCAGGACCGAAAAGCCGGAUGCGUUGUUUUUUGCAAUCCAUGGCUUGGGCCCAAGCGUCGAUGCCCUGCCUUGCAGGACAUUCAGGCAGACAAACCGGGUCAGGCCGGAAGGAGCAGCCCUAAGUUUUCCUUGUUUGUGCUUGCAAGAUACAAGGCGGAGUGUAAGCCCAAAUCACCAUUCUUUGCAAAAGGCGGCAAAACCGGUGAAUCCCAUUC
rnacentral:SRP_RNA from 1 species